rnacentral:rRNA from 1 species
AGUGGCGGACGGGUGAGUAAUGUCUGGGAAACUGCCCGAUGGAGGGGGAUAACUACUGGAAACGGUAGCUAAUACCGCAUAACGUCGCAAGACCAAAGAGGGGGACCUUCGGGCCUCUUGCCAUCGGAUGUGCCCAGAUGGGAUUAGCUAGUAGGUGGGGUAACGGCUCACCUAGGCGACGAUCCCUAGCUGGUCUGAGAGGAUGACCAGCCACACUGGAACUGAGACACGGUCCAG